AUACUUUACAAUGUGACUAUUAAGUGCGAGAGGCAAAGCAAAGAGAGCAGAGGAAGGUUAUGGUUGGUUAUGGUUACUCUCAACGUCAACUUAAAGCUAGCAAAACGGUUUGAAGACAUAAUGACAAUAAUCCACGGGGAAGGGGGAAUCGACUGGAAAUCCUUCUUCGGGGUGCCUCUUCUACUUUCCACCCUCUUACUGUCUGUGGCAGGACAUACAAGGUGUUUCUGAGGCUGCAGUGGUGCUCUAACAUCACAUCGUUUGCCUGACUGGAAAUGAAGUGUGCAGUCUUACAUGAGGAAGUGACUCGUUGACGGCAGAAAUGAUUCAAGUGCUGCUUGCUGCAUCCCAGGGUUGAACUUUUCUACUUAAACUACAACUCAACGUACACCUAAUUUCACUCAGCGACGCCCCACAACAAAGACGUGCCACGCCCAUUCAAUCCCCGAGCAACACCAAUAACGGAACAAAAAGAGUCCGCCACACACCGAGGAUGGAUCAGCCUCGACAUCCAUCCGUAAUGAGCGCCACGCAGCCGGCUGUCUGCUUGUCCCGUGGGUGGACAUAUCUUUUGGAGGCCUGACAUAAAGGUAAUUGCUACAGUGACCAGAACUAGCCUGUAGAAGGUUAUUAAGCAACCAGUGACAUCUGGAUCUUCUGAAAAGAUGCCGUUCAAAUGCCUUAGCGGCAAGCAGCCCCCGGCUUGCUGUGAUGGGUUCUGUGCCGCGGGCGAAUGCUAAAGCAGCAUUUUCAUGUCCAUGAUAGAAUCUCUUUCAAGCAAGUCCAGUUGACAAGAAAGGCUGCCACUCAAAAUCUCCAAACUGCUUUUUUUGGGAGCAUGUAAUGUCUUUAUUUGCAGUCUGACUGGAUCUUUAAAUUAAAAUGAUCCACUUUUUUUUCCCGAUGUAGUUAUCCAAAUGUGCAUCUGGGGAGAAUUGGUUUCAGGCGUGUUUCUGAGGGUAAACAAAAUGGGCAAUUAACCUGCUCAUCAGCGCCAGCAGAGCAGUUCCAAUGAUGCACGCCGCUCUUUUUCAUGGAUUUAUCUGUGCAAAUUGACCUCACUUUGGUGCUGCAAUUCAUUUCUCUGCUAAUUUUCGAUGUCUGUGGCUCCAUUAACUUGACGCUUUUCUGUGUAGAAAAAAAAAACCUGCUAAUGGGAUGGAAAAUACACCAUGCUCACUAUUGCGGAUAGACAACUUUUGAAUUUGAACAUGUUUUAUCAAGGAUGCAAUGUCUCCACAUCAGAUUACGAUGAAGCUUGAUUGAUCUAACAUGACAAACAUCCCCUCCACUGCCAGAAUCCUCAGUGCCACAUCCUCCCCUUCGCAUCUUCCUUCUUGUGUUACGGGCAUUUCCUUUGUAAUGAUUCACAUCCAGAGCCAGUUCCAGGAGAGAAAGGCCCUGGAGGCACUUAGGCAGCCCAGUGUGAGAGACAAUACACGCCGCUGAAGAAUAGAUUGGUGCUCUGAUCACUGGAACAGCCUCACGCACCAAAGCCAUCACUUUUAAUCAGUUGUUGUGUCCAAGGAGACACAUGGCAGGUGCUUCAGCACUGUGCUGGAUCACAACAAAGCAUCCACACAGGAGGACCCGAACUCACCACACAAUGCCACCAUUAAAGGUAUGUGUGACGAUAGCAUCUAACCCCGUUUUAAUACGUACCAACAAUGACCCCAAAUAAUCAUUAUAUGACAACUCCGUUUCUAAUAUCGGAACAUUUUUGACAACAAUUCAUACACCAUCCAACAAGAGUCUUGCAGAAAGAUACACAGCGGAACCUCGGUGAGCAUACCUUUCAGUUUAUGUUGAAAAUGUAUACAAAAAUGUUAAAAUUCGUACAUGGUUUGCGUACAAUAUGGCGCAAGUCUUGUUGUGUUAACAAUACGCUGUACUACAAAACAUCCCAGGCUGUUAGCACGGGAUGCCAUUGUCCCCUGGCUCUUUUGCCCCAUCUAUGAUGUCAUCAGCAGUCGACUGUUGUUUUGUGCUCGGACAGUUACGCCACAGGUCUCUGCUUUUAUAAAAUAAGCCACUGUUGGCAACUUUUUAGUAGGAAAAAUAGGUAUGGGCUGUCUUGUAUUGAUUAAAGACGAGAGACUUGCAAAACACUGACUUUCGAUCACGUCUGUCUGGUGGCCCAAAGAAAAUGUUAGACUCAUUGGUGCAUGGGUAAGUACGCUAUUUAACGGAAUGUUGAUGCAUGCCGUGAUAUUUUCAAGUCAUUUGUAGUGGUGUAACAAUUUCUAUCACGAUUCGUGGUUGCCGAUACGAUAUUGGUUCAUUUUAAAACUAUACCAUGCAAAACGACUCAGUAAUUUUGAAUCGAUUCAGUAACUUUUUAGCCAAAAAUUCACCUGCUGUGACUGAAAUAAAUGCUUUCUGUUUUUUAUAUAACUCUCUGCAUUUUCAACUUCCAACAAUAUUUUAACUUUGGUUUUCGUAUGAAUUUAGCUUUUUUCUGCAAAAGUUCAGUAGCCACCUUCCUCAAAGAUUUUUUUGUUUGUUUGUUUUUGGAACUUUUUUGUUUUGAUGAUGGACUACUAUCUGCAGAACUCGGCAACAAAUGUUCCCAAAAUGUCCACAGAUUCCCAUUUGCUAGAACAGCCCACUCCUCAUUUCCUGUCCCAAUAUAACUCUGCUUGUUUUGCGCCCGUCUGCUUGAGCAUGCAACGACUGCAACCGGACGUGACGUCAAGUGCAACCCAACUAUUAGCGUUAUAUGUUGUUGCAAUAGACCUUUCACUUGCACCAUACUAGUUGGGCCUGAAUUACUGUACUGGCAUCCUCUGCUGAUUCUUGUCAUGUAGAGAAAUCCCUCAUUCCUACAUUCUUUCAACAUGUAGCGACGACAUGUCCCUAGGAUAGGAUAGACUCUGGUUUAUACGAUACAAAUACUAAAAUCUUUUUGAAUGACUCUGCCAUGACUCUGUGACCAUCAACCAAAUCAACAUGCUUGUGUGUAUAAAAGCCACAUAAAUCAUAAAUAAGUGCACACAUAAAAAACAGCAAAAAUCAGGUCUCAUCAGUCUCAUCACAUGGCCCGAGGCUGGCUAACAGACAGCGACGUUUCAGGUUCCUAAGAUCUCAGGUCACCUUGUCUAGGCAACUCGGUAACAUACUUCAUGAAUCCAAAUGCAUCUCUCAAGCCUUGUUGAAGGUCUCUGUAGGUUUGACAUCAGAACAAGCCCGAUCUUCACACAUGUCGAUUGAACUCUGACUCUCUGGUAGAGCAAGGCACCCCCUGCCAAUAAUACCAGUAAACUCAGUACCAGGAAAUAUGUUGAUGCCUAUGAAACGCAAAGACGCUCCCUUCAUAAGCACCCUGUUUACACAGCUGUCUGUCUGCUACUGUCCAAAUAUUCUGUUGAAGGUGAAGACGGCGAGCGAACAAGCUGAUAAAGAGGUGUUGAGGUAUAUUGCGUCUAAUACCUCAAAACCUUUACAGUUUUUCUUGAGAAAGAUGUAUCACAUUGUCGUGAAACAUAAUGAGGUGAAACAUAACAAGGUGGAGGUGAGGAGAUAUGGGGGGGGUACUUUCAUACAAUUAGCAACAUUUAAUUCAGAGUGGAAACUACCAGAGACUUUGUGCAUGUGUAUUUCUAAUUGAACACUAAGGCCAACUCCACUCAUACUUCUUAUUUUCAUAAACGCUUCAAUCUUUAAAUAAGUAAAAUAAGUAAAAAAACAAUUAGUAGUACUUCUGUAGUAAAGGAGAUAUCAUGGAAUUAGAAUUGAGUCGUAGAUUAGCCACACCACUAUAAGCCACAAGUUUUUAACGGUAGUACGUUUGACCUGAUCGUCAAAAUCAAGCAGCCAGUUAGUUUUUCCAGGCUUCCAAGCCAAAAAUAUACAUAAAG